AAUUGUCUAAAGGAUGCGAUACUAGCAAUUAUAAAACCGACUAAAGAGACGAUAAGGGAAUCUUGAUAAAGUUUAUCCGUGUUGAAUGCCUGUUUAUUAAUAGGAAUCCUAAAGAUAGGCUAGAGAUACCCACCUGUAUAUAAGAGCAGGUUUUAUCGUUAUGCCAAGAACGCUCCUUUGGCAUUUUU
rnacentral:other from 1 species